GCCGGGAUAGCUCAGCUGGGAGAGCAACAGACUGAAGUGACUUGUCAUCUCGGGCUUCUGGAGGUCGCGUGUUCAAUCCACGCUCCUGGCA